UACGUAGGGUGCAAGCGUUAUCCGGAAUUAUUGGGCGUAAAGAGCUCGUAGGCGGUUCGGUAAGUCGGAUGUGAAAUCUCCAGGCUCAACCUGGAGGGGUCAUUCGAUACUGCCGUGACUAGAGUUCGGUAGGGGAGUGUGGAAUUCCUGGUGGAGCGGUGAAAUGCGCAGAUAUCAGGAGGAACACCCGUAGCGAAGGCGGCACCCUGGGCCGAUACUGACACUGAGGAGCGAAAGCGUGGGGAGCGAACAGG
rnacentral:rRNA from 1 species